UAAAUGCUUCGAACCCUACAUAUAUCCCCA
rnacentral:piRNA from 1 species